AAAGAAACCAACAGGGAUUGCCUUAGUAGCGGCGAGUGAAGCGGCAAAAGCUCAAAUUUGAAAUCUGGCUCUUUCAGAGUCCGAGUUGUAAUUUGAAGAAGGUAUCUUUGGGUCUGGCUCUUGUCUAUGUUUCUUGGAACAGAACGUCACAGAGGGUGAGAAUCCCGUGCGAUGAGAUGAUCCAGGCCUAUGUAAAGUUCCUUCGAAGAGUCGAGUUGUUUGGGAAUGCAGCUCUAAGUGGGUGGUAAAUUCCAUCUAAAGCUAAAUAUUGGCGAGAGACCGAUAGCGAACAAGUACAGUGAUGGAAAGAUGAAAAGAACUUUGAAAAGAGAGUGAAAAAGUACGUGAAAUUGUUGAAAGGGAAGGGCUUGAGAUCAGACUUGGUAUUUUGUAUGUUACUUCUUCGGGGGUGGCCUCUACAGUUUAUCGGGCCAGCAUCAGUUUGGGCGGUAGGAGAAUUGCGUUGGAAUGUGGCACGGCUUCGGUUGUGUGUUAUAGCCUUCGUCGAUACUGCCAGCCUAGACUGAGGACUGCGG
rnacentral:rRNA from 1 species